rnacentral:rRNA from 1 species
UACGAAGGGGGCUAGCGUUGUUCGGAAUUACUGGGCGUAAAGCGCGCGUAGGUGGUUUGUUAAGUUGGAUGUGAAAGCCCCGGGCUCAACCUGGGAACUGCAUCCAAAACUGGCAAGCUAGAGUACGGUAGAGGGUGGUGGGAUUUCCUGUGUAGCGGUGAAAUGCGUAGAUAUAGGAAGGAACACCAGUGGCGAAGGCGACCACCUGGACUGAUACUGACACUGAGGUGCGAAAGCGUGGGGGAGCAAA